rnacentral:rRNA from 1 species
UAACCGCAGGUCAGCACACUGCGGUGAAUAUGUUCCCGGGCCUUGUACACACCGCCCGUCACGUCAUGGGAGUCGGUAACACCCGAAGCCGGUGGGCCAACCGCAAGGAGGCAGCCGUCGAAGGUGGGACCGGCGACUGGGACGAAGUCGUAACAAGGUAGCCGUACCGGAAGGUGCGGCUGGAUCACCUCCUUUCUAGGGA